rnacentral:rRNA from 1 species
GACGAACCGUGCGAACGUUGUUCGGAAUCACUAGGCUUAAAGGGCGCGUAGGCGGAGGGUGUAGUCGGUGGUGAAAUCCUCCAGCUUAACUGGAGAAUGGCCUCCGAUACUGACUCUCUCGAGGGAGGUAGGGGCAUGUGGAACUCAGGGUGGAGCGGUGAAAUGCGUAGAUAUCCUGAGGAACGCCGGUGGCGAAAGCGACGUGCUGGACCUCUUCUGACGCUGAGGCGCGAAAGCCAGGGGAGCAAACGGG